rnacentral:lncRNA from 1 species
AAAUUACAUCAAUUAAUAUCAUAUCAAUUGAAUAAAUGACAAAGAAUAGCAAAGGUGGGGAGAAAAAUCUGCCACCAAUCCACUCUUAGGCUGAAAGAGUGGAUCCGAAAUCCACUCUAAGGCUGAAAGAGUGGAUCCCCCACCCGAGGACUCUGGCGACGUGAAUACAAUUUAUAUAUGACUUGAAAAAAUUAACAAGCAUGACAGUCACAUACAUGUUCACCAAACAAAUAUCAUUUUAUUAUGUAAAACGUUUCCACAUUUAGCAGAAAUUUUAAAACUUUAUAAUAACAUAUACCAAGAUAUUACUUUUCAAUUUUCUCUUACUGGUAAAAAAUGAUUAAAGUUGUAAAUUUUAUUCCGGUCAGGAUCACAGCAAUAAAAUUACAAUAGAAUCGUCGUUAAGUAUGUUCAAGAAUUCAUAUUUGUCGUACAUCCAGACAUUUAAAGAAUAGAAUCCUCUAUAUAAUUUAGUACAAACAACUAGUACAUUAAUUAAUCGAAACUGUAUCUUUAAUCUAAAAAAUUCAAACAAAACUAAAGUACAUUUUACGAAGCCCUGGAUCCUUUCUAAAACGAAGCUUUGUAUCUGACUAUUUCUGUAUGGAAUCAUGAGCAAAAUGAUUCUCAUACUACACUUGACAUUUUUCAAUCGAAAUUGUAUAAAUAUAAAAAAGAAGAUGUGGUAUGAUUGCCAAUGAGACAGUUCACCACAAGAAACCAAAAUGACACGGAAAUUAACAACUCUAGGUCACCGCACGGCUUCCAAUGAACAAAGCCCAUAUCGCACAGUCAGCUUUAAAAGGCCCCAAGAUGACUAUGUAAAACAAUUUAAACGAGAAAAACUAACGGCCUUAUUCAUAUAAAAAAAUUAACGAUAAACAAAAUGUAAUACAUAUACCAACGAAACCACUGAACUACAGGCUCCUAACUUGGGACAGGCA